rnacentral:rRNA from 1 species
CCUACGGGCGGCAGCAGUGAGGAAUAUUGGUCAAUGGACGAGAGUCUGAACCAGCCAAGUAGCGUGAAGGAUGACUGCCCUAUGGGUUGUAAACUUCUUUUAUAUGGGAAUAAAAUGUUCCACGUGUGGGAUUUUGUAUGUACCAUAUGAAUAAGGAUCGGCUAACUCCGUGCCAGCAGCCGCGGUAAUACGGAGGAUCCGAGCGUUAUCCGGAUUUAUUGGGUUUAAAGGGAGCGUAGGUGGAUUGUUAAGUCAGUUGUGAAAGUUUGCGGCUCAACCGUAAAAUUGCAGUCGAAACUGGCAGUCUUGAGUACAGUAGAGGUGGGCGGAAUUCGUGGUGUAGCGGUGAAAUGCUUAGAUAUCACGAAGAACUCCGAUUGCGAAGGCAGUUCACUGGACUGCAACUGACACUGAGGCUCGAAAGUGUGGGUAUCAAACAGGAUUAGAUACCCGGGUAGUC